GCUCAUAGUGAGGUCAUCCUGUCUUCAGUUUCUUACUCUGCAGAGAAACUGGAACUUGAGGUCAAUCAUGCAGUCCUGCAGUUCUGCUCUUUGUGUCCUGAUCUUACUGAUUCCUGCAAUCACUGCUGGUGACUCUACAUCAACUGCAGCGGGUAAUACUUCAACUUCCACCAAUGCAACUUAUACCAACUCUACAUCAACUGCAGCGGGUAAUACUUCAACUUCCACCAAUGCAACUUAUACCA